GAACUAAAUAUCCUGAAGGCACCAGAUCCCAUCUGAUCUUGGAAGCUAAGCAGGGGCAGACCUGGUUAGUACUUGGAUGGGAAAUGACCAAGAAAUGCAAGAUGCGACAUAC
rnacentral:rRNA from 1 species